UUGAUUAUUAAGAAUGGUAGCCUCUUUGAUUUUGUAUAUUUUUCUAUUCUAAACUGUCUAAAUUAAUUUUAUACAUUGACUGAUAAUGUUUGCAAUAACGACUGUCCAGCUAUCACCACGUUGCUCACCACGUUGCUGCUACGCCAUGAUAUCUGGAAUAAAAAAGAUAGAUUCUAGCUAUUGAAUCAAAAAGAGGUUUAGGACUGUGUAGACUUCAUGGUGCUGGAUUUAGAGGAAACUCGACUCUCACCACUCUCUCUAAAUGCAAAAAAAGUUUGAAGUGAAGCGGAAACUUAUCUCGAGCAAACUAUUUUUUAACUGCAGCAAAAAAAAGUUUGAAGUGAAGCGAAAACUGAUACGACUAUUCCUUUUUUUCUACGUCGUAUAGCCCUUGAACUUGAAACCUGAAGAGAAGAGACGAAAUCCAGAUGAAACGACACCUUCAUAGAAGACAAAUCUUGUUUUAGCAGAAUACAUAGAGGAAUAACAACUUCAUUCAUCUUCAAUCAUAAGGUAACUUGUUUAGGUCAUCGAAGCUUAUUUCACUAGAAUACGAAGUGGAAGAAGAACUCUAUUCAUAUCCAAUCAUAAGAGAAGAGACGAAACCCUUGAACUUGAAACCUGAAGAGAAGAGACGAAAUCCAGGUGAAACGAAACCUUAAUAGAAGAUGAAGCUUGUUUAGAUCAUCGGAUCUUGUUUUAGCAGAAUACACAGAGAAAUAACAACUUAAUUCAUCUUC